rnacentral:misc_RNA from 1 species
UCCUCUCUCAAACCCCGUGUUUGGUGUUGGACCGCGUUGGACCGCCUCUAUGGCCCAACUGGUCUUAAAGACAAUGACGGCGUCCCAGGGACCCUCUUCGCACUGAGCUUUCCGGAGCACGCGUAGAGUUUCAAGGGCCCAGGGACCCGGUCGCCUCUAAAACUUUUUUCA